CACGUAGGGACCAAGCGUUGUCCGGAAUCAUUGGGCGUAAAGCGCGCGUAGGUGGCCUCAUAAGUCCGCUGUGAAAGUCAAAGGCUCAACCUUUGAAAGCCGGUGGAUACUGUGAGGCUAGAGUACGGAAGAGGCGAGUGGAAUUCCUGGUGUAGCGGUGGAAUGCGCAGAUAUCAGGAGGAACACCAAUAGCGAAGGCAGCUCGCUGGGACGUUACUGACACUGAGGCGCGAAAGCGUGGGGAGCGAACAGG
rnacentral:rRNA from 1 species